rnacentral:rRNA from 1 species
AGCGAACGCUGGCGGCAGGCCUAAUACAUGCAAGUCGAACGGUCUCUUCGGAGGCAGUGGCGGACGGGUGAGUAACGCGUGGGAAUAUGCCCUUUGGUACGGAACAACUGAGGGAAACUUCAGCUAAUACCGUAUGUGCCCUUCGGGGGAAAGAUUUAUCGCCAUUGGAGUAGCCCGCGUUGGAUUAGGUAGUUGGUGGGGUAAAGGCCUACCAAGCCUACGAUCCAUAGCUGGUCUGAGAGGAUGAUCAGCCACACUGGGACUGAGACACGGCCCAGACUCCUACGGGAGGCAGCAGUAGGGAAUCUUGCGCAAUGGGCGAAAGCCUGACGCAGCCAUGCCGCGUGAAUGAUGAAGGUCUUAGGAUUGUAAAAUUCUUUCACCGGGGAAGAUAAUGACGGUACCCGGAGAAGAAGCCCCGGCUAACUUCGUGCCAGCAGCCGCGG